CAGUAGGGAAUCUUCGGCAAUGGGGGCAACCCUGACCGAGCAACGCCGCGUGAGUGAAGAAGAUCUUCGGAUCGUAAAACUCUGUUGUUAGAGAAGAACACGAGUGAGAGUAACUGUUCAUUCGAUGACGGUAUCUAACCAGCAAGUCACGGCUAACUACGUGCCAG
rnacentral:rRNA from 1 species